GACGAACGCUGGCGGCGUGCCUAAUACAUGCAAGUCGAACGCUGAAGGAGGAGCUUGCUUCUCUGGAUGAGUUGCGAACGGGUGAGUAACGCGUAGGUAACCUGCCUGGUAGCGGGGGAUAACUAUUGGAAACGAUAGCUAAUACCGCAUAAUAGUAGAUGUCGCAUGACAUUUGCUUAAAAGGUGCAAUUGCAUCACUACCAGAUGGACCUGCGUUGUAUUAGCUAGUUGGUGAGGUAACGGCUCACCAAGGCAACGAUACAUAGCCGACCGGAGAGGGGGAUCGGCCACACUGGGACUGAGACACGGCCCAGACUCCUACGGGAGGCAGCAGUAGGGAAUCUUCGGCAAUGGACGGAAGUCUGACCGAGCAACGCCGCGUGAGUGAAGAAGGUUUUCGGAUCGUAAAGCUCUGUUGUAAGAGAAGAACGAGUGUGAGAGUGGAAAGUUCACACUGUGACGGUAUCUUACCAGAAAGGGACGGCUAACUACGUG
rnacentral:rRNA from 1 species